GUCUCUGGAUUUUAUCUCAUCUUGGAAGCCGAGCAGGGUCAGGCCUGAUUAGUACUUAGUUGGGAGACCACCUGGGAAUAUGAGCUGUUGUAGGCU
rnacentral:rRNA from 1 species